rnacentral:rRNA from 1 species
UACAGAGGGUGCAAGCGUUGUUCGGAAUUACUGGGCGUAAAGGGCGCGUAGGCGGCUUGGCAAGUCAGAUGUGAAAUCCUGGGGCUUAACUCCAGAAGUGCAUUUGAAACUGCCUCGCUUGAGUACAGUAGAGGUUGGUGGAAUACCCAGUGUAGAGGUGAAAUUCGUAGAUAUUGGGUGGAACACCGGUGGCGAAGGCGGCCAACUGGGCUGUAACUGACGCUGAGGCGCGAAAGCCGGGGGAGCAAACAGG